rnacentral:lncRNA from 1 species
GGGUAACUGUUGGAGCCCCAGUUCCCAGUCUCUCCUGUGCUCUAGGAAGCCCAGGUGAUCUCCUGUCUGGUUGGCAGCUGUUCUCAUCCUGCCCAACACUGCCCAGGUUCAGUUCUUUUGUACCUCCAGGGAGCAUGGUGCCCUGCCUCACCUGUUCCCUCCUGAUGAAAACCACAGUCAAGGCUCUUGCCCACAUUUCUCCUGCUCCCUCUCCCUCCUGACCCACCUGGUGGCCACCUGUGAUGUGGUGUAACCUGCUCCUCUGGGGACUGUGACCAACAAACUGUAUUUUUUAAUGGCAAUUAUCUCCCAAUCUGUUGGCUUUACUGAGUCUCAAAUUUUCUAUUAAUACACUGUAUUUUAGAACAGGGCCACAUCCAGGGAUAAGACAGAGGCUUUCAGGGGCUAAGGGAAACUCCAGCAGCUGAGAACAACCCCUGGCCAACAUCCAACAAGGACACGGGUGCUUUAGUCUUACAAUUGUGAGAAACUGGGUUUUGUCAACCACCUGAAGAAACUUGAAAGGGAUUCAUCCUCCAAGCCUCCAGGUAAGAGCCCUAUUGGGCCGACUCCUUGAUUUCAGCCUUGUGAGACACUGAGCAGAGAGCCCAGCUGAGCCUCCAUAGACUUCUGAGUUAGGGAACUGUGAGAGAAUAAUUAGGUGAUGAUUUAAACCACUAAGUGUGUGGUAACUUACAGAGCAAAAACAAAUACAAUAGGUGAUGAUGAUGAUGAUGACGAUGACAAUGACGAUGACAAUGACGAUGACGACGAUGAUGACGAUGACAACGACGAUG